CUCAUAAGACCAUACAGUUAGAGAAAGAGCUACAGGUAACUUAUGGUUGCUAAGAGAGAGAGAGUCAAUCUAAUCCAAUCCAGAGAAGAGACCUCUGACAAGUAAUUCAAUCCCAAGAGGUCAGCAGUUGAUACAUGCAUCUGAGAAACAUUAACGAGACUCAGAUUGCAAUUAUAAUGCACAUAGGUAUGUGCAUAACUGUAACCAUGAGAGUCACAAAAGAGGUCAUGAUAUUGAGAGGGGGCGGUGGUGUGCUGACUAGUUUUAUAUCAACUUCUCCCAAGCUAGAGUCACUUUGGAAGACUAGCUUCACCUGAGAAAGCGAAGCCCCUGCCUGAUUGAUGUGUGCGCAAACCUGCAGUGCGUCUUCUUGAUUGAUGAUUGAUGUGGGAGGGCCCAGUUUGCUGUGGGUGGAGCCACCCCUGGGCAUCCCAGUGCAAUAAGAAAGCAGGCUUAAUAACCCGUGUCAGAAACCGGUCAAUGCAAAGAAAAAGCAGCACUGUUCCCUGGCUUCUGCUUCAGUCUGCUUGAGGUUCCUGCUUUGAAUUCCUGCCCUGGCUUCUUUCCAUGAUGAGCAGCGGUAUGAAAGUGCUCAGGAAUUACAAUGGAAAACCUUUGAACGGAUUGAAUAGCAAAUGAAUUUUUACACCCCAGAUGAUGGACGGGUAUGCUUCAAGGCUUGAAUGUGAAUCCGGAUUCUCUAAGCAUUGCAUUCGCUUCUAGAACUCCCUCCAUCCUGUGCUCCUUCCACCCAGCCUUGGAAGAAUGGAUUUUCAGCAACCUGUGGGCUCUCUUCCCUCUUCUUCAUGAGUGAAGACUUCUUCAUCUUUUGCCUAUUUGACAUUUCCAAUUAAAAAUGGAAUUAUAAUCCCACUCAUAAUUAGCCUUUCCCCAAAUGAACACAUUUCAAAAGUUCUCCUCAGGUCUCUUCCAUCUCAGUAAAAGAUGUGUACAUACUGUCCAAGACCAACCCUGUGGCUUUCUCUCUGCCAUAUGCAGUCUAUCUUCAAGUUUACAGACCUUUGUGUUAUAAUUACAUUUUUAAAUCUCAGUUAAUAGCUUUUUACCCUUUGUAGUUAGCGUAUUUCAGUUCCUGUUCUCAUCUUACCUAGAUAGCUGAAAGAGUUACCUCUGUGGUAUAUCUAGGUUUUUCUUUCUGCACACAGCAGCCAAGUUGAAGCCUUAUGGAGAGAAACCCUCCCUGUUAAGAUCAUGUCUCUACUUUUCUUUUGCAAUUAGAAUCUCUCUGCCCUCAGCUAUUGCCACCAUUCUCUCCAGUUAAUCUACUCCAUGCAUUCCAAGUCCAUUCAUUAUUAAAACAUUUGCACUCACA